rnacentral:rRNA from 1 species
UACGAAGGGGGCUAGCGUUGUUCGGAAUUACUGGGCGUAAAGCGCACGUAGGCGGAUACUUAAGUCAGGGGUGAAAUCCCGGGGCUCAACCCCGGAACUGCCUUUGAUACUGGGUAUCUCGAGUCCGGAAGAGGUGAGUGGAAUUCCCGGUGUAGCGGUGAAAUGCGCAGAUAUCGGGAAGAACACCCGUGGCGAAGGCGGCUCUCUGGGACGGUACUGACACUGAGGCGCGACAGCGUGGGGAGCAAACAGG